AUGGAGCUGUUCCCGAGGCGGGUGCUUCCUCUGCUCCCCCAGGAGGGGGAUCCCGUGUGUGAAAGUAUUUUCGGGACCUGGCAUCUUCACAAGCCCCAAGGGUUAUUCCUAGAGGCGCCAGAGGCUCCAGGUUUCUUGGGAGAGUCUUGGUUUAGGGCCGCGGCUCAGGUGUUAGCGACGCGACCUCCUUGUCCGCUCAGGAGUCUCAGGCUUUGGGCAAUAACCCGCAGCAUCACCUACGUGAAGCCCACGGAAAAACAGAGAGGUAUUUUUUUUCUUAAUUGUUAUUUAUUUGUUCUAUUGAUAUUUUAUUUCUGUGUUUGAGAGGGAGGGAAGAGGGAGGGAAGGGGAGCAGAGGCGCAGGGAGAAGCAGGCACCUGCCCCUGGGGCGACCCCGAGAAAAAACAUCCCCAAGAAAGAUGUUUUUAGGCCCCCAGAUGACCUGAACGCUUCCCCUUUCCGAGGCCCUUCCCCUUCCCAGCCGCACAGCCAGGGAAGCCCCGGGCCGCCCCCCUGAACCUGCCAGCAGGUGGCCGGGCGUUCCCGGGGCGUGGGGGGGCGGGGAGCACAGAAGGCCAGCGGCCCCGGGGCGGCCACCUGGGAGCUGGGGCCUGGGGCGCACAGGUGCGGCCAUCAGGAGCACCAAGCCUGGGGACAGUAGUGCCCACCCCCACCCCCAGGGACACCCCCGGGAACGGGGACCUCGGACCUCCGGCCCGAGGUCAGAUGGUGCAGGCCGGGCAGUAGGAAAGGUGCUGCAGCAAGUGGCACUGGGACUCGGCCAGUGGGAGCUCGGAGCCAUGGUCCGGCUUGCCCAGGUGCACAGGAACACGCACUCACGCGGGCUAACCGCCGGCCUAGGUUGGGGUACAGGGAUACAGCACCUGAGGCUGCACCUGAGGCUGCACCUGCUGCCCCCGGGCACCAGGUGGACCCUGCAGCUGGGGACUUGCAGGCCUCCCCGGGGGCCUGGAGCCAGUAGGGUGGCUCUCCCAGGGCGGCUCCCCCAGGGCGGCUCCCCCACGCUUAUUAACUUACGAAGGAAAGACCUCAAGUGAUUGGGGUCGCGGAAUACAUUGCCAAGUUAAGAUUGAGCCUAAUGUAAAAAGAAAAAAAAAAAAAAAGAUUGAGCUUAAUGGGUUUGGUUUUUUUCCCCCCAAGAAACUAUUACACAAAGUCUGAAUCAAUUGUUGGGUCUUCGCUAAAUCCAAUACCAAGCAGACACAACAGAGGCACUUUUUUUUUUAAGAUUUUUAUUUAUUUAUUCAUGACAGACAGAGAGAAAGAGGCAGAGACACAGGCAGAGGGAGAAGCAGGCUCCAUG
ensembl:lncRNA